CCUACUAAGGCCCAAGGGUUUGGGGAAGUCCGCCGUCCAAAGCCCAAAACAACCGCAUGCACUGUGCUGCAGGUUAAGCUUUCGAUGGCCCAUUGAAAGAAAAUAAGAUCACCUUUCUGGCUAUGAGAUUCACGGCCCAUAUUAUUUGUGGACCUUACAAGGUCUGUCGUGUCUUUAUCGCAAACAACUCUGUCGGGCCGGUAGAAAGCUGUCCAGUCAAGCCUCGGGCUCGUGCUGCAAGGGAAUCGGACAUGCUUUAUUAUUUUUGUAUAUCUUGGUAUUAUUUAGUUGCUAUUUGGAUGGGGGUCUGUCUAUUCAUGUGGCGACAGAUUUUUCAAAUAGAAAUCUGUCAAAUUUUUGACAAAUCUAAAGCUAAACUUGUAACACAAAAAAAAUAACAGUUUUGCAAUAAAAAAAUAUGUCAGAUUUUACAAAACCCGUUAGUACUAGCAUAAAAUAUCCAAAACCCAACAACAGUCAACUACAACUACAUCGUCGCAUAAAGUUAGUCUCAUUUACAUAGAACUUCAGAGGCAUAAGGAAAACCUAUCCUUGAAACCCCAGUUUAAAAGCUAAAUUGUGGCAAGUACACAAAAUAGAGAGAGAGAGAGAGCGCAAACACACACCCACACAUAGACACACACCCACACACUCACACUCUGCUUUCCAGUAGCAACAGCAAGCACCGAAAAGACCCUAAACCACACACAACCAAACACAAACAGACACAAACAAAGAGAGAGAGAGAGAAAAUAAAAUCACAAAGAGAAAGAAAUGCACAAACAAAAACACCAAAAAUAGAAAAGCACCCGCAGAGACUAAAAAAUAUACACUUCAAAUAUUAGGCAUAACCAAAAAACAACAAAAAAAGCAAAACACACAAAAUCUCCACACCCAAACCUACAAACACACACAAAAUCACCAACACACACAUACACAGAUCCACAAACACACACACACACACACACACAUCCACCCACACAGUCACAGAGAGAGAGAGAGACCCACAAACACACACAUACACAGACCUAAAAAAACAGAGAAAAAACCAAACACACACAGAUAGAAAGAGACAAAAAAAUGCACAAAACAAAAAAAACUAAAAAUAACCUAAGGCAUGAUCACAUAGCACUUGCAAGCAACCGUCAGAUAUAAAACAAAAAUUAACCGAAACAACUCAAAUUCCAAGUCAAAAACAACCUAGAGAAAACUAAAUAACACACACAGAGACAAAUAGAGAGAAAGAGAGAAACCACACAAACGCUCACACACAGACCCAAACAAACACACACACACUAAAGCAUUCAAUUUUUUAUUUAUUUAUGUGAUGGAUGUCGUCUACAUCGUUUAUUUGAAGUAUCUUCAAUUCCUUGACUUCUUGUUGCAUUGUUUGCAGCCAUGUCUUUGGAGAAUUCAAAUAACAAGGGCAAGGCUGUGGUCAAGGAGGAGGAGGUCUCUCCGGUGACGCCAGUGGAGCCGAAACCCUUUGCUAUCAUGUCUAAUCAGGACGUCAAGGCGGAGAAGGAGGAUGUCUCUCUGCCGAUGCUGGAGACCGCAGCUCCUCAUCAUCACCAGACGCCGCAGUCGAUUGAUGUCUCUGACAUUGACGACGACAACAACAACGACGUCCUCGGGGGGACAAGCGGCGUCCAGGAUGUGGGGUCGUCGUUGGCGGCGGCGGCCGCCGCCCACAUGAUGCAACAAGCAGCCAUGCAGUGGGGCACAGUUGAUAGCCUAAAAUAGCUUGAAAAAAAUUAUACCGCUAUUUGCGUUCAUACACAAUUUUACCACUAAAGUACGCUAAUUAUGGUUUAUAAAAUGCUAAACACUUUGGCCUUAGCUCGCUAUUUAAAACAUGGCCACACACAGAGAGAGACCCACAAACACACAUACACAGACCAAAAAAACAGAGAAAAAACAAAACACACACAGACAGAAAGAGACAAAAAAAAUGCACAAAACAAAAAAACUAAAAAUAACCUAAGGCAUGAUCACAUAGAACUUGCAAGCAACCGUCAGAAUAAAACAAAAAAUAACCGAAACAACUCAAAUUCCAAGUCAAAAACAACCUAUAGAAAAAACUAAAUAACAAACACAGAGACAAAUAGAGAGAAAGAGAGAAACCACACAAAUGCUCACACAGACCCAAACAAACACACACACUAAAGC
rnacentral:lncRNA from 1 species